AUUGAACGCUGGCGGCAUGCCUUACAUAUGCAAGUCGAACGGUAACGGGCCUUCGGGUGCCGACGAGUGGCGAACGGGUGAGUAAUACAUCGGAACGUGCCCGAUCGUGGGGGAUAACGAGGCGAAAGCUUUGCUAAUACCGCAUACGAUCUACGGAUGAAAGCAGGGGACCACAAGGCCUUGCGCGGACGGAGCGGCCGAUGGCAGAUUAGGUAGUUGGUGGGAUAAAAGCUUACCAAGCCGACGAUCUGUAGCUGGUCUGAGAGGAUGAUCAGCCACACUGGGACUGAGACACGGCCCAGACUCCUACGGGAGGCAGCAGUGGGGAAUUUUGGACAAUGGGCGCAAGCCUGAUCCAGCCAUGCCGCGUGCAGGAUGAAGGCCUUCGGGUUGUAAACUGCUUUUGUACGGAACGAAAAGCCUUCUUUUAAUACAGGAGGGUCAUGACGGUACCGGAAGAAUAAGCACCGGCUAACUACGUG
rnacentral:rRNA from 1 species